AUUGUACUAUGUAACCAGCAAAGUACAAUGUACUAGCAAGAACUUGUUUUGCUAUAGGAAUUAAUGUUUUGAAAUUUUAUAUUAUGGAUUACAAACUAUAAUACUUAAGAACACUAUAGAAUACAUUAUUCCUGUUAAAUGGAUUCUUAAACAGUUGCCACUCAGACAUACAAACUGGUAGUUUAUAAUUCAUUAGCAAACAAACCAUUUCUGACUAUCAUGUGAUGUUCUUUAAAUUCUAUAAACUCAGUUAAAAUUUUUAAGAAUUUUACUCAUCCGUGAUUUGAGUCAUCAAAAUGUAGUUUCAGCUCAAGGUGGAUCUCUGAGGAAUAUAACUCAAGGUAGAGAAGUCCAAAGAAUGCUACUGUGGGGAAAUCUCCCUGGGAGAAACGGAUAGCUUUAGAUUUUCCAGCUAUGAAAUGCAAGCAGAAAUUCCUUACAAACUAGUUUGAGACAAAAGCAAAACCCAUAUAUAAUGAAGGACAGAAUUGCACUAUUAUUGUCAAGACCCACAUGACAACAGGGAAAAUCUUUUCUCUAAAGUAAGAGCCAACUAGUUUUCCAAACGUA
rnacentral:lncRNA from 1 species